rnacentral:tRNA from 1 species
GCCUAGUUAGCUUAGUUGGUAGCGCGUCUGCCUUGUAAGCAAUAGGCCGCGGGUUCGAUUCCCGCCCGAGGCG